rnacentral:rRNA from 1 species
UGGGGAAUAUUGCACAAUGGGCGCAAGCCUGAUGCAGCCAUGCCGCGUGUAUGAAGAAGGCCUUCGGGUUGUAAAGUACUUUCAGUCGGGAGGAAGGUGGUAAGGUUAAUAACCUUAUCAAUCGACGUUACCGACAGAAGAAGCACCGGCUAACUCCGUGCCAGCAGCCGCGGUAAUACGGAGGGUGCAAGCGUUAAUCGGAAUUACUGGGCGUAAAGCGCACGCAGGCGGUUGAUUGAGUCAGAUGUGAAAUCCCCGGGCUUAACCCGGGAAUUGCAUCUGAUACUGGUCAGCUAGAGUCUUGUAGAGGGGGGUAGAAUUCCAUGUGUAGCGGUGAAAUGCGUAGAGAUGUGGAGGAAUACCGGUGGCGAAGGCGGCCCCCUGGACAAAGACUGACGCUCAGGUGCGAAAGCGUGGGGAGCAAACAGG